UCCGGGGUAGUUGAGUGGUACAACGCCGCGCUGUUAACGCGGAUAUCGGAGGUUCGAAUCCUCCCCCCGGAGCCA
rnacentral:tRNA from 2 species